rnacentral:rRNA from 1 species
GACGAACGCUGGCGGCGUGCUUAACACAUGCAAGUCGAACGCUGAAGCCCUGGCUUUUGUUGGGUUGGAUGAGUGGCGAACGGGUGAGUAACACGUGAGUAACCUGCCCUCUUCUUUGGGAUAACGCCCGGAAACGGGUGCUAAUACUGGAUAUUCACUGGCCUUCGCAUGGGGGUUGGUGGAAAGGUUUGUUCUGGUGGGGGAUGGGCUCGCGGCCUAUCAGCUUGUUGGUGGGGUGAUGGCCUACCAAGGCUUUGACGGGUAGCCGGCCUGAGAGGGUGACCGGUCACAUUGGGACUGAGAUACGGCCCAGACUCCUACGGGAGGCAGCAGUGGGGAAUAUAGCACAAUGGGCGAAAGCCUGAUGCAGCGACGCCGCGUGAGGGAUGGAGGCCUUCGGGUUGUAAACCUCUUUCGCUCAUGGUCAAGCCGCAACUGUGGGUUGUGGUGAGGGUAGUGGGUAAAGAAGCGCCGGCUAACUACGUG